rnacentral:rRNA from 1 species
CGUAGAUCAACGCUGGCGGCGUGCCUAACACAUGCAAGUCGCACGAGAAAGGGACUUCGGUCUUGAGUAAAGUGGCGCACGGGUGAGUAACACGUGAAUCAUCUACCUUCGAGUGGGGAAUAACUUCGGGAAACCGAGGCUAAUACCGCAUAAUACCUACGGGUCAAAGCAGUAAUGCGCUUGAAGAGGAGUUCGCGGCAGAUUAGUUAGUUGGCGGGGUAAUGGCCCACCAAGACGAUGAUCUGUAUCCGGCCUGAGAGGGCGCACGGACACACUGGAACUGAAACACGGUCCAGACUCCUACGGGAGGCAGCAGUGGGGAAUUUUGCGCAAUGGGGGAAACCCUGACGCAGCAACGCCGCGUGGAGGAAGAAAUAUCUUGGUAUGUAAACUCCUUUCGAUCGGGACGAUAAUGACGGUACCGAGAGAAGAAGCCCCGGCUAACUUCGUGCCAGCAGCCGCGGUAAUACGAGGGGGGCAAGCGUUGUUCGGAAUUAUUGGGCGUAAAGGGCGCGUAGGCGGUUUGACAAGUUUGGUGUGAAAUCUAUGGGCUCAACCCAUAGCCUGCAUCGAAAACUGUCGGGCUUGAGUAUGGGAGAGGUGAGUGGAAUUUCCGGUGUAGCGGUGAAAUGCGUAGAUAUCGGAAGGAACACCUGAGGCGAAAGCGGCUCACUGGACCAUAACUGACGCUGAGGCGCGAAAGCUAGGGGAGCAAACAGGAUUAGAUACCCUGGUAGUCCUAGCCCUAAACGAUGAUUGCUUGAUGUAGCGGGUACCCAAUCCUGCUGUGUCGAAGCUAACGCGAUAAGCAAUCCGUCC